CAAGAUAGCCACAUGGAAAAAUAAAUAUGCAGAGCAAAAGAGAGAAGUUGAACCCCUUCCUCCCACCGUACACAAACGUUAACUUGAAAUGUAUCAAAGAGCGAAAGCUUCUUUCCCAUUUACACUUGCUGCUAAUGGAAAAUACCAGAGAUUCAGAAGGGUAAAACAAAAAAGGAAAUAUUACUGCAACCAGUUUAGAUGGAAACCUUAUUUGUAGAAACCUAGAAAAAUAUGAUCUACUUUCCUAUGUAACUUCUUCCACCAUGCCAUUUCUGCUGUGGAGCUGACCAACAAUGGAAUGAACCAACUGAAAUGGUGCCUCACUUGAAUUAUCUUCAUCUCAGCCCAGUGGUGUUUGCAACAGCAGCCCUAAAGAAAAUGUGGUCACAUGACAUGCUCAGCUUGUUUCAGCCACAAAGAAUCACAAAGUUAUGUUCCCCCAAGAGAAAUCUAAUAUUUAAAAGAUACUGGAAUGAAGGAGUGCUAAAACCUAGAGGCCAUGAAAUGAGAAUUAGGUCAGUUAGUGUUUCUCGAGCAACACAGCCUCUAAUUUAAUAUAGAAAAUGGUCAAUCUUUGGGAUCCUAUAUAAUCUUUCAAAAGUAAAUGUCUGAACCUUCCUAAUUAAUGGUUUCCAGUCUAUCAAGCACCAUAGUCAGAGUUAUUUUCUGGCUGCAGGGUUUUUCAUAUCACAGACAGUCAACAAAUGAUCAUUCUCUCCUCUCCUUCAGUGUUUUCUACACUUGAAAACAGGUGUCAAUUUAUUUCCUGAUCUCUUUUUAGAUCAAACUAUAUGACACCUCUUAGUUUUCCCAUCCCUAGUGCUCUAAAUGUCUGCUUUUACUCCAUUUGUCUUUAUCCAGGUUUUUACUAAAACACUGAAAAGAUCUUCAAUUUGAGAUUUUCAUUGUAAUAUAACAUCUCACAAUAGCUG
ensembl:lncRNA